GAACGCGAAGAACCUUACCUGGGCUCGACAUGUAAUGAACAACAUGUGAAAGCAUGCGACUCUUCGGAGGCGUUACACAGGUGCUGCAUGGCCGUCGUCAGCUCGUGUCGUGAGAUGUUUGGUUAAGUCCAGCAACGAGCGCAACCCCUGUUGCCAGUUACCAGCACGUGAAGGUGGGGACUCUGGCGAGACUGCCCAGAUCAACUGGGAGGAAGGUGGGGACGACGUCAGGUCAGUAUGGCCCUUAUGCCCAGGGCUGCACACGUACUACAAUGCCCAGUACAGAGGGGGCCGAAGCCGCGAGGCGGAGGAAAUCCUAAAAACUGGGCCCAGUUCGGACUGUAGGCUGCAACCCGCCUACACGAAGCCGGAAUCGCUAGUAAUGGCGCAUCAGCUACGGCGCCGUGAAUACGUUCCCGGGUCUUGUACACACCGA
rnacentral:rRNA from 1 species